rnacentral:rRNA from 1 species
ACGGGAGGCAGCAGUGGGGAAUAUUGCACAAUGGGGGAAACCCUGAUGCAGCGAUGCCGCGUGGAGGAAGAAGGUUUUCGGAUUGUAAACUCCUGUCUUAAAGGACGAUAAUGACGGUACUUUAGGAGGAAGCUCCGGCUAACUACGUGCCAGCAGCCGCGGUAAUACGUAGGGAGCGAGCGUUGUCCGGAAUUACUGGGUGUAAAGGGAGCGUAGGCGGGAUGGUAAGUUAGAUGUGAAAGGCGAGGGCUUAACCCUCGAGCUGCAUUUAAAACUGCUGUUCUUGAGUGAAGUAGAGGUAAGCGGAAUUCCUGGUGUAGCGGUGAAAUGCGUAGAUAUCAGGAGGAACACCGGUGGCGAAGGCGGCUUACUGGGCUUUAACUGACGCUGAGGCUCGAAAGCGUGGGUAGCAAACAGGAUUAGAUACCCUGGUA